UCUUCCCGGACCGGGGCACGAACCCGCAUCCCCUGCAUCGGCAGGCUGACUCUCAACCACUGCGCCACCAGGGAAGCCCUGGAUUUUUUUUAGGUUUACUCUGGAACUAUACCUCAGCCCCUCUUUUUCCUUCUUGGUUUUGACAUUUUCACAAUUACAAGUCAGAUCUUUGUAGAAUAUUCCUCAUUUUGGGUUUGUCUAAUAUUUCCUCAUGGUUAUAGCGAGGUUGUGCAUUUCUUGGACAGAUAUUACGUAGAAUUGAUGUUAUGUGUUUCCUGGUAUGCCUGUCAGGAGGCACAUGAUGUCUGUCCAUGACUGGUGAUGCUAAUUGGCUUACUUCCUUGAGGUGGUGUCUGCCAGGUCUAUCGUAAAAUUACUAUUUCCUCUCAUCAUAAUUAAUAAAUAUAUAAUGAGAUACUUUGAGGCUAUGUAGCUAUUGGGUUACUCUCCUAUUUUGUCACCCAUUGAUGAUUCUUGUCUGAUUCAAUUUAUUACUAUACAUGUAUUAAAUGGUGAUUUUCUAACUUCACAUUUUUUCCUCUAUAUUCAUUACUUGACCUUAAAAGGGCUCUUCUUUCUUUGCUAUUUAUUUUUUGAGUGAUGCUUGGUAAAUAGCUUCUUCCCUGAGCCCCCCCCAGAUGCACCCCUUCUCUGAGAUCCCCACACAUCCUCACAAUCCAGCAACUAAAAGUCUAACUCUUGGAAAUCAGGGGGCUUCCAGGGCUCCUCUUCACUGGCGUUCACUUGGACUGGUCAGUGCCUGUGCUGUGGCUUCAAUAUGUGAAGCCAGAAUGGGAUUCCUGCCCAUCCAGGAAAUAGACUAGUUAAGGGCAAUUGAACUUCUGGUUCAGUGGUCCUCAAUCUCGGAUGCAAAUUGGAAACACCUGGAGAGUUUAAUCAUUCACUAAUGCCUGGUCGCUGCUCCCAUCACCCAGGUGACUCUGAUAUGCUGUCAAGGUUGGGUGUCACUGCCGUGGUGGAGCAGAGGAGUCGGGGAGCCUGCUUGUUCAUCUCAGCUAAGUAUAGCAGGAAUUUAAACGUGAUGAGAAUUCUAGCAAACAGGAGUAAGAAACUAACUUAUCAGCUUUAUGAAGGAGAGGGAGACAGAGACAGGGGAAGGAGGAAGAAGCAGAAGGAGGAGGAGAAGAAAAAUAGAAGAGAUGGGAAGAGAGGAGAGAGGGAGGGAGAGAAAUGGGGCAAAGUAUAAACAAUGGAUAAAGCUCAUUUUAGGGCAUAUGGGAAUUCUUGCGACUUUCCUAUAAAUUUGAAAUUGUAACAAAAUAUUCUUAUUCCUCAGGAAAGACCAGGUCCUUGUAAACAUUAGCCUGUGGGUCCUCUUGUCAUCACAGAAAAAAGUAAUGAGGGAAUACAUCCCUUAUUUGCUCUCCACAUUUAAGAUGGAGUUUUGAGUAGAGGAGGUGAGAUGCAAAAAGAGUUACAGUCUCAGAGUCACUCAGAGCUGACCUGAACUUAGAGACCACUGAGGGAUGAGGAAUGACAGAGACCCAUCUGCCAGAAGGUUCUAGGAGGAAGUUGGGGUCAUCCCUUUCCACCUCAACUCUGAGCCCUUCUUUUUGUAAUGUGUCAUUAGGCUUUCUGGAAACUGCAGUCACAAAACACAUAAACUGGAAAAACACUUGAGGUCAUCUAAUUCACGCUCCUACCCUGUGUAGGAAUGUUUUCAAACAUUUCCCCGUCUAAUAUAUAUGGAUAAUAUCAAUAUAAAUGCAUCCCUUUUAAAUAUAGAAACAAAUCAUUCUCCAUAGGUUGAUAUAAAUAUAGUUCCUCUCUGGAGGCAGUCAGCAGCGGGGGAAAUGAUCCAUGGCACUGGGAAAGACUCAGAGGUGGAUGCUGUGAACCCAAGGAGAAAAUGGCCAGCCAGGGGCUCAUAGAAGCUUCACCUCAGCUCCACAAGGGCGGGGGGUGGGGGUGGGUGCUUGUCCAUUUCCUGUUCAUUUUGGUGGUUUCUGUUCUGACCUAAUGUCAAGCUCACAGAGGAUGCUCAGUGAAUAUGUGCAUGGCGACUAAAUGUUGAGAUCAAGAGAUGGAGAGGAAAACAAAAUGAAAGAAGGAAGGCUUAAUAAGAACCAGAAAUUGAAGUGGGUACAGAGGAGAGGAACUGCACAGGGCCAUGAGCUAUACAAAUGGAGCAUUAGAAGAUUCUGGCUGCAGAACCUUGGAGUAGCUGCCCAGCUGACUUGAACUUGUCAAGACAGACCCGAGAAUAAGGCUGUAGCACAGACCGAGAAUGUAAUUUGUGCACUUCAGACUGCUGCCAAAGGGCCUCAACCGUGUUUUAAGAUUAUGACCUAAAAGAGAGCCUUCAUUUCACUUGAACGUUGACAACAGAGAAGCCCAGCAGUGAACCCAGACGAUCCCUCUGGCUUCCGAGCGAAACAAAGGCUCAAAGUAAGACACAGAGGGACUGGUACAGUCCUCUUGGCUAACAGUACUGAGUGCUGACCCUGCCUUCCCCCAAUGCCGGCCAUGCCUCCCGCCAGGCUCCCACUGGCUUGAUGGCCACUCAAGAAGGUAACUGAAGAUGAGGACUGUGUACCAAACAGCUUUGACUCUCCCCCCAGUGACCUGCACCGAGACCGUGGUCCAGGACUCUCUCUCUUUCAGUCCAAUGGCUCCAUUCCCUUGGCAACUUAGAGACAUGCAGUCUGGAAGACCUAGAUUCAAACUCUCCAAUGGACCAUUUCUGUAGGGAGAGGUCAGCCAUCAGUUGGUGCUCUGGGCCUGGAUGUGUUUGGAAAAUGCGGAUCCUUCCUGGACUCAGAGCCACCCUCCACCCAGCAAGAGACCCUCACGCUUGGGAGGGAGUCACCCUCACACUCACCGAGAAAUAGACAUUGCCGUCCGGUGAGACUCCUCCAACAACCAGAUUGCUUCCCACCAUGGUGUAGCGAUUUGUGAUACCCAAGCCCACCCAGCCAGCUGUCUGGACCUGGAGCUCAAAAGUGAUGAUCUCAGCCUCAAGGUCAAAGUCCCAGUGCAGGAAAAUAACAUUAGAAGGAUCUAGGAACAUGGAAUAACGCAGACGUGAUGUGAGGCCCAGGUGGUUGCCUUGAGAGGAGGUCAGCAGGGCCAUAAGUAGGAGAAGCCGAAAGAGAAGGGCACAGGCCAUGGCUCCUGGGGUCUGAAGCAUCUCUCCUUAGAUGGACACUCAAGAAAAGUGAUGCACAGACAGGGAGUGGGACUCCAAGUGGCCCUGCCUUCCAGCCUCCCUACAGUGCAGGAGGAGAGGAGGUGUUGGGAGAUGCGGAGGGGAAGGCUAUGGUCUCCAUCUCCUGGAAGAGUCUUUACUACUAAUCCCUGGAAGGACAUGUAGAGAUUGCCAUUUGGAGAAGUCACCUUCGGGGACCCUCCACUGGAGUCUUGGCCAACUUCCCCGCUGGCAAGCUCUUUGACAACGGAGAGGAUCUGAAAAAUUAACAAGGAUACAUGCCUCGAGGGCCUCCUCCAUCACAGAAUCCGGACCACACACCUCCACACAGGAAUCCAGCUUAAGUGAGGGCAGGAAGAAGCUGGCACCUCUGUUUACGCCUCCAUUCAGGCCACGCAUGUUCUUCUCAUCACCUAUGGAGCCCAUCAAAGCUGAGGAAAACACAGGUCACUGGAGAUGAGUGUCCAUUGCCGACCGCCCAACACUGACCUGCAGCAGCCUCUAUGCCUAUGAGAAGAUGUCUUUGUUCAAUCUGCAAGUGUGGCUUCAUUGCAAUGAGUUACUUUAAUUCCUUGCAAAAACUUGAGGCACGGAUUCAGCACGGAAUCUCUGCGAAGCAGCUAAGAGGGUGCAGGGCCAGACACCUUCACUAAGGCCCCCAGUGAGCCUGGGGAGUGUGUACGAAUGCCGACACAAGCUUGGUGGAGCAAAGCCCCAGGUGGGUCCUGGUACCUCGCGGACAGGCUGAAACCCUGCGCUGCAUCCUGAGGAAUUCCCAGUACCCCUGGAUGAGCUGGUACCAACAGGAUCUCCAGGGGCAGCUACAGUUGCUGGCCAAUCUGCGGAGUUCUGGGGAUGAGAAGGUCAUAUCCCUUCCUGGAGCAGAUUACCGGGCCACGCGGGUCGGUGAAACAGAGCUGAGCCUACACGUGGCCAAUGUGACCCAGGGCAGAGCCCUAUUCUGCACCUGCAGUAAAGACACAGUGAGACAUCCUUCUUGGGCAAAUGAAUAAAAACCACCCCUGCUUCCCAACCACAGACCCAAUGUCCUCCUCUGCCCUGACGGUCCCCCAGCCUGCUUCCUCCCCACCCAGAGACUCCCUUCUGGCCUCUUUACUACAAGCAGACCUCCCCCGCCACUUUCCCACUGCGCUUCAGAGACACUCGGCCAAAUGAGCACAGCAAUCGACCCAUGGGCUCUGCAGGGCUGGGGGCAGCCUUGACUCUGCCACUUGGGGCUUUGGGGAAGACCUCAUCUCACUGAAACUUAGUUUCUGUGUUUGCAAAGUACAGACAGUAACUCUACCCAACUCAGAAGGUUGCUGCUAGGAUUAACAACGCAAUUCAGGUGAAGCCUUUAGGAAAAUACAGAGGCACGUAGGAAGCACUUAAUCACUGUUAGCUAUUUUCUCCACAGUAUGCGUGUAUAAAAGGCAUAUAGCGGGCUUCCCUGGUGGUGCAGUGGUUGAGAGUCCGCCUGUUGAUGCAGGGGGCGUGGGUUCGUGCCCCGGUCCGGGAAGAUCCCACAUGCCGCGGAGAGGCUGGGCCCGUGAGCCAUGGCCGCUGAGCCUGCGCAUCCGGAGCCUGUGCUCCGCAACGGGAGAGGCCACAACAGUGAGAGGCCCGCGUACCGCAAAAAAAAAAGCAUAUUGCAUUUCAGUACCAGUAUCAGUGCCCAGAGGGGUGCUGAAAAGAAGCCCAGAGGGGUGCUGAAAAGGAACCCAGAGAAAUUCUGGGAGCUCAGAAAAGGGGUAGAGUGAAUAUCUCAACGUAUGACCCCCCCACUCACACCGCUGGAAUAAAUAAGCACACGUUUUUUCCAGUUAGAUCCACAUUCUCGGCACUCAGCACUGCCUAAAUUUCUCACACCUCAAGCUCAAGUCGAUCUUUCUAAAAUUAAGAUCCACAGAGAGGGCCUGACCUAGAAAGGACCAGCGUCUGGGUUCCAUAGUGGAGGAUUUACCAAAUAUUGACCUAAAAGCCGUGGCUCAGAACUGGGUCUGCAGCCUGAGGAAGGGCACACAUGGAGUGAGGGCAGAACAAGGAGACUCAGCCCCAGACAACGGGCCGGGAACCAGCGGGAGAGGUGUUAUGAGAGAGAACCCCAUCCUGAGACCCCUGCAGAGACGGGAGACCGUGCCGCAGCUAAUCCACUCUGCUUCCAGCUCAGCUAAUCCACUCUGCUUCCAGCUCGGAGCUUCUCCGUCCUAGACGGUGUGGACCACGUGAGCAGAGCACAGGCUCCGGACGCACAGGCUCAGUGGCC